rnacentral:tRNA from 1 species
UGACCAAGGAUGAGAAUCGAACUCACAGUGUUCCGCUUACCGGGCAGAUGCCAUGACCACUAGGCUACCUUAGAC